rnacentral:rRNA from 1 species
UAGCAAGGUAUGAAUCGUACGGCUCACCGUAUAACGUAUUUGAACUGCUAGACUAGAGGAUGAGAGAGGUUAUUGGAAUUUCUUGUGUAGGAGUGAAUCCGUAGAUAUAAGAGGAACACCGAUGGCGUAGGCAGAUAACUGGCUCAUACCUGACACUGAGGCACGAAAGCGUGGGGAGCAAACGGGAUUAGAUACCCCGGUAGUCCACGCCGUAAACGAUGGAUGCUA